CAAAGCAGUAUCCAAACUUCCUUCACAACUCCAAGCCAUAGCAAGUGUCAGGACUUUGCCAAUCACUACAUGGGAUUUAAUGGAUGGCGCACCCACAUUGUUACAUUGCAGUUGCAAUGAUCCAUCCCACUCCUCCCUCUAAUACCACUGGUCCAAGGCAAAGACAAGCCCAAAGUCCCUUCACGCUGUCAGCUAGUGGGAGGAUGACUGAGGAGAGUGCCACCUAGCCGUGACCAAGUUCAUAGUGAAAGGCCUACACCCCUUUGCGCAACAUUGGAGUCCAAGGGCUUUAGGGAGAUGAGCAAGGCACUCAACACUCCUCCCUCCAGGAGUUACCUCAGUGACACAUUAAUUCCUACCGAGUAUGGUGUUGAAAAGGCCAAUGUGAUCACUGAGCUGAAGGACGUGCCAAAGCUGGCAAUCACAUGAGACGGGUGUACCAGCAUCUGUCAGGACCACUAUCUCACUGUUACAGUGCACUACACAAGCCAGGGCAGUGUAAAACAGAAGGCCCUCCACACCAGGGCAGUGUAAAACAGAAGGUGCUCCACACCAGGGCAGUGUAAAACAGA